AACAUUUAGUCCAUAACACAUGAUCAGUUACGUUAACUGAUUUUUCAAAUAUUAAAACAACCUUGCAUUUCUGAGAUGAACUCCACUUGGUUAUAUUAUCCUUUCAAUAUACUUUUAUUUGUUAAAACUUUGCUUAGAAUUUUUGCAUCUAUGCUGAUGAAGGACAUUAGUCUAUAGUUUUUUUGCGAUAUCUUUGUCUAGUUUUGGAAUCCAUGUAAAUACUGAUUUUAUAGAAGGAGUUGAGAAGUAGUCCCUCCUUUCAAAUUUCUGGAAGAAUUUGUGUGGAGUAGAUAUUAUUUCUUCCUUAAGUGUUGGUAGAAUUCACCUGUGAGGCCAUCUGGGCUGACACCCCUCUCUUUGGUGAUUAGGAAGGACUCUGCAGACUCACAUAGUUCAUUGGCACUAUUGAGGGUAGUGUCUCCCGUGUAGAAUAGCAUCUUCCUUGUAAGGACCCUAAUACGGUUUGGCUGUGUUCCCACCCAAAUCUCAUCUUCAAUUCCCACCUGUUGUGGGAGGGACCUGGUGGGAGGUAAUUGAAUCAUGGGGUCAAGUUUUUCCCUGUGUUGUUCUCAUGACAGCGAAUAAGUCUCAGGAGAUCUGAUGGUUUUAAAAAGAGGAGCUUCCCUGCACAAGCUCUCUCUCCUUGCAUGCUGCCGUCCACGUAAGACGUGACUUGCUCCACCUUGCUUUCCUCCAUGAUUGUGAGGCUUCCCCUGCCACGUGGAAUUCUAAGUCCAAUUAAACCUCUUUCUUUUGUAAAUUUCCCACUCUGGGGUAUGUCUUUAUCAGUGGCAUGAAAACAAACUUAUACAGGCUCACAGGAGACAUUUCUUCUAGAUCUCAAUGUCAGGGAAACCCGAAGUAUUCACUUCCUAUUCUUUCUCAGUGUUCAAGGAGAAUGCAUCUGCUCACUCAUCCACAUGGCAGGUUUCCAGAUAGCAUUGUCUGUGCCCUCCUUGUUCUCCAUCCAUUCCACAGACACCAGGCUUCUUCAUCUGACCAUUUCCUGGCCUCCUGGGGGGUUUCCUGAGACUCUUCUCCACAGUGUCAGCCACUUACAUCGGACAACAUUUAUUUUUGUUCACAGCUGUCUUCAGAAGACUGAACAGAACUCAGGACAAUCUUGAAAGAGCUGUCACCCCAUGAAAAAUAAAACAGGGCUGCCAUCUUUCCUCUGGUUGCCUCACUCUAUGUGGUGUAGCAAUAGCCCAGUUCCUGUGGGCUGAUCGUCACAACCCAAGCUCAGAAUGUGAUGGGAAAUGUCUCUCAGUAUGAGGCCCUUUCCAGUGUAGCCCCUUUCUCCUUCCAGCCUUAUGGGCCACAUGCUGCUUUGCUCCUUUCCUUGGAUCUUCUUUCUUCUUUGUCCUACAAAAGGAACCGAUAACUCAUGCUACGCAGCUCCGUGCUCUGCACGUUCCUCUAACAUUAGCCCACGCUGAGUGAGAAUCUGUGUGCCAGGCAGCUUGCUACUUUAGCCAUUGUUUCAUUGAGUCUUCACAACUCCAGAGGGUAGAUACAGUGGUUGUCCCCAUUUCGUAGAUGAGGAAACUGAAGUUUGUAGAGGUUAGGUGACGUGCCUAAGGUCAUGCACUUGGUAAGAGGUAGAGCAGGACACAGACGCUGGUGAUUUCUCACCCAAGCGAGCCCACAUUGUGUUUUCAGACCUUCUCCCAAACACUGCGCUGCCGUGCUUGGUGCUUGGAUGUGCGUUUACUAGUUUGCUUCUCUGUUCGGCCCAUGCGCUCACACCGGGCAAGGUCUUGCCAUCCUAAUCCGUGUGUCUACACUGCAUGACUGGGAGCUCAGCAACUGUUUGCCAAGUAAAUGAAACCUAACUGAAGUUCCAGAUUUCUUGUUCUAAAUCGAGAAACAAGGCACAGGCACAAAGUAGUGAAGAAAGAAAUGCUUGAACCAAAUCCUACUGUCUGCCUAGUGCAAAGCUUGGGCCACAGUAUUUACUCAAAAAUCAUGUUCAUUCUCAGCUACCCCUGCUCUGGGCAGAGGCUGGGAGAGGCGCUCUUCCGUUCUCUUCCCUGGCCACUGGCCACUGCAGCAGGUGGGGGGGUGGGGUGGGGG